rnacentral:rRNA from 1 species
UACGAAGGAUGCGAGCGUUAUCCGGAUUUAUUGGGUUUAAAGGGAGCGUAGGCGGUCUUAUAAGUCAGUGGUGAAAUCCUAUCGCUUAACGAUAGACGUGCCAUUGAUACUGUAGGACUUGAGUACAGAUGCCGUUGGCGGAAUGUGUCAUGUAGCGGUGAAAUGCAUAGAUAUGACACAGAACACCGAUUGCGAAGGCGGUUCUCUGGGCCUUACCUGACGCUGAGGAGCGAAAGCGUGGGGAGCGAACAGG